rnacentral:rRNA from 1 species
AAGGAGCUUGCUUUUUUCAACUCAGUGGCGGACGGGUGAGUAACGCGUGAGUAACCUGCCUUUCAGAGGGGGAUAACGUUCUGAAAAGAACGCUAAUACCGCAUAAGAUUGUAGCUUCGCAUGGAGCAGCAAUCAAAGGAGCAAUCCGCUGAAAGAUGGACUCGCGUCCGAUUAGAUAGUUGGCGGGGUAACGGCCCACCAAGUCGACGAUCGGUAGCCGGACUGAGAGGUUGAUCGGCCACAUUGGGACUGAGACACGGCCCAGACUCCUACGGGAGGCAGCAGUGAGGGAUAUUGGGCAAUGGGGGAAACCCUGACCCAGCAACGCCGCGUGAGGGAUGACGGUUUUCGGAUUGUAAACCUCUGUCCUCUGUGAAGAUAGUGACGGUAGCAGAGGAGGAAGCUCCGGCUAACUACGUGCCAGCAGCCGCGGUAAUACGUAGGGAGCAAGCGUUGUCCGGAUUUACUGGGUGUAAAGGGUGCGUAGGCGGAUUGGCAAGUCAGAAGUGAAAUCCAUGGGCUUAACCCAUGAACUGCUUUUGAAACUGUUAGUCUUGAGUGAAGUAGAGGUAGGCGGAAUUCCCGGUGUAGCGGUGAAAUGCGUAGAGAUCGGGAGGAACACCAGUGGCGAAGGCGGCCUACUGGGCUUUAACUGACGCUGAGGCACGAAAGUGUGGGUAGCAAACAGGAUUAGAUACCCUGGUAGUCCACACUGUAAACGAUGAUUACUAGGUGUGGGGGGUCUAACCCCCUCCGUGCCGGAGUUAACACAA